rnacentral:lncRNA from 1 species
UUAGGUUCGUCCGGAAGGGAAUACAGUUAAGUGCAAUAAGGAUGCGGCUGUCAGUAAGCCACAGAAUAUGUCCUUCUUUACUGCUAUUGGUCGAAAGAACGCAGGGACUUUUGUUCGAGGUCUUUCAGGUAAGUUCCAAGGUAUCCUUAAUCCAAUCCUGGCUGAGCUGCUUCAUAUCCGAGAGAUACUCGUGGCUGAAGGAUGAGCGGCUUUAUGAUGUCAAUAUUGAAUCGGAUUGUAAGCAUGCC